ensembl:snoRNA
ACCAUGUUGUGGUUCACAAGCGUUAUAACUCAGUUUUUACGCUCACGUGUGAGACAUGCCUCCUUCCAAUCUUGUUAUGUCAGCACAUUAUCCAUCUGCUG